GUAAACCAGGGUGUAUCAGGCUCUUCCUGUGCCCAAAGGAUGAUGUGUGCAACUCUCCUGGCUCUGAAUUCAGAACCGCAGAGUAUUCAGUGAAGGAGGAUGGCAGUGACUCCUGGGUCAGUGUCCCCUGAAUUUUCUGCUGUUCUGUUCAGCAGAAUCUCACUUUCAGCAUGCAGAGAGUACAAAACUCCUCCACUGUUCUUUGCCGUGUUGUGAACAUGCACAGCCUUCUUCUUCUGGAAGAACUCCAAAYAAAAGGCUCAGCUGAGACACCAAAGUGCAGGAUUUCAGCUGGCACAGAUCCAACCAGAUCAGCUCUGCAGAGCCAACUGAGCUUAAUUGAACUGUGCUGGAAACCUAAAAGUGAAGAGGCUGCCAGGGAAACAACACAGGUUCCUGCAAGGGAGAGGACCCAGUGACGGGAGAACCUCACAAUGUUUUGUUCUGCUAAAUUGCCAAGAACAGGGAGCUUCACGGGACUGAAGGAGGAGAUGCUUUCCCACCAUCAGAGUGGAAAAUGGUUUAUCCCAAAUCCAUCUUUGCCUGGUCUUCUGGGGUUA